rnacentral:rRNA from 2 species
UACGUAGGUGGCAAGCGUUGUCCGGAAUUAUUGGGCGUAAAGAGCAUGUAGGCGGGCUUUUAAGUCUGACGUGAAAAUGCGGGGCUUAACCCCGUAUGGCGUUGGAUACUGGAAGUCUUGAGUGCAGGAGAGGAAAGGGGAAUUCCCAGUGUAGCGGUGAAAUGCGUAGAUAUUGGGAGGAACACCAGUGGCGAAGGCGCCUUUCUGGACUGUGUCUGACGCUGAGAUGCGAAAGCCAGGGUAGCAAACGGG